rnacentral:pre_miRNA from 1 species
GGCACAAACGUGGAGAGGAGUAGAUUAGCAGGAUCAGCUAACCCUGCUGAACCACCCUCCUUCAAAUUUGUUCCC